rnacentral:rRNA from 1 species
UACGUAGGGGGGCUAGCGUUGUCCGGAUUUAUUGGGCGUAAAGAGCGUGUAGGCGGCCUGGUAGGUCUGCUGUGAAAACUCGAGGCUCAACCUCGAGAUGUCGGCGGAAACCAUCUGGCUAGAGUCCGGAAGAGGAGAGUGGAAUUCCUGGUGUAGCGGUGAAAUGCGCAGAUAUCAGGAAGAACACCUAUGGCGAAGGCAGCUCUCUGGGACGGUACUGACGCUGAGACGCGAAAGCGUGGGAGCGAACAGG